rnacentral:rRNA from 1 species
CGGCAAAAGCUCAAAUUUGAAAUCUAGUACCUUCGGUGCUCUAGUUGUAAUUUGAAGAUGGCGACUUUGGGAGUGGCCUUUAUCUAUGUUCCUUGGAACAGGACGUCACAGAGGGUGAGAAUCCCGUCUGAUGAGGUGAUCCACUCCUUUGUAAAGUGCUAUCGAAGAGUCGAGUUGUUUGGGAAUGCAGCUCUAAGUGGGUGGUAAAUUCCAUCUAAAGCUAAAUAUUGGCGAGAGACCGAUAGCGAACAAGUACAGUGAUGGAAAGAUGAAAAGAACUUUGAAAAGAGAGUGAAAAAGUACGUGAAAUUGUUGAAAGGGAAGGGUAUUAGAUCAGACUUGGCGUUGUGUGAUUAUCUUCCCCUUGUGGGUUGUGCACUCGUGCUUCGCUGGGCCAGCAUCGAUUCGUGUGGCAGGAUAAUAGCAUUGGAACGUGGCUGCGCUUCUGUGUAGUGUUAUAGCCUUUGUUGAUACUGCCUAUGUGGAUCGAGGACUGCGUCUUUUUGACUAGGAUGCUGGCGUAAUGAUCUAAUAUCGCCCGUCUUG